rnacentral:lncRNA from 1 species
GGUGUAAUGUAUAGUUCUAGAGAUUGGAUUUCUCUCAAAACCCACCAAAUGACUCCUCGCACAAGAUUAUGAUGUUCCCCAAGUUUUGGACUCAAUCCGAUAUCGAUUGGUCCUUGAAAUCGGACAAUUCAAGUUCGUACGAAGUUCGUUCUGAAAUGGGGAGGUUGGUGUAUUGUAUAGUUCUAGAGAUUGGAUUUCACUCAAAACCCACCAAAUGACUCCUCCCACAAGAUUAUGAUGUUCCCCAAGUUUUGGACUCAAUCCGAUAUCGAUUGGUCCUUGAA